rnacentral:rRNA from 1 species
GAUGAACGCUGGCGGCGUGCCUAAUACAUGCAAGUCGAGCGAACGGACGAGAAGCUUGCUUCUCUGAUGUUAGCGGCGGACGGGUGAGUAACACGUGGAUAACCUACCUAUAAGACUGGGAUAACUUCGGGAAACCGGAGCUAAUACCGGAUGAUAUUUUGAACCGCAUGGUUCAAAAGUGAAAGACGGUCUUGCUGUCACUUAUAGAUGGAUCCGCGCUGCAUUAGCUAGUUGGUAAGGUAACGGCUUACGAAGGCAACGAUGCAUAGCCGACCUGAGAGGGUGAUCGGCCACACUGGAACUGGGACACGGUCCAGACUCCUACGGGAGGCAGCAGUAGGGAAUCUUCCGCAAUGGGCGAAAGCCUGACGGAGCAACGCCGCGUGAGUGAUGAAGGUCUUCGGAUCGUAAAACUCUGUUAUUAGGGAAGAACAUAUGUGUAAGUAACUGUGCACAUCUUGACGGUACCUAAUCAGAAAGCCACGGCUAACUACGUG